rnacentral:lncRNA from 1 species
AUGAGAAUAAGAAGGGUAAACAUAGAGGUUCAUGCUACAAUUAUGGAAAAGUUUGUCAUUAUAAGCCGAAUUAUCCAUCGAUUAAGAAAGACAAAGAGUAAGGCCAUCACAAGAAAUCUAGCAAGUCUAAAAGAGCAUGUAUUCCUUGUGAGAGUGAAAGUGAGUCCUCAAGUGAUGAAAUUUCAAGUUCAAGUGACGAAUUAGCCAAGAUUU